UUUGCUUCAUGAGCUACAGCGCAUGUGUCGAAGCCUCGGGUAUCAGAGGACCAUCACUGUCUGUGGCUGCUGUUGACCUUGUUUUUGGAGUAAAACACGGUGGAAGCUGAAUUAGUGAGGAUGACUCCUGCUCCUGUCAUCUCUAAGCUCCUCACACAUCUUUACCUGCACAUGAGGAAAAUCACUCCUGUAGAAUGCAGAUGUUCAGAGGGAGAUGAUGCCACAUCUGGUCCAGCUGAUGGAAGGUCUUGAAGUUCUCUGACUGGCCUCCACUGAAGAUGGUCGUCUGACCCUGAUUUAAGGUUCAGAUGCUCAGUAACAAACUCCACCAAUGAGCCAACAGGGAAGCUUUAGGUUUAUUAAAUGUUGCUAUGAAGGCAUCGCUGUUUUUCUUAGUGAAUGCAAUGUGCUCCAACUGAAACUUGAAUUAGAACUUAGAAGUAAAUCCUUCCAUCUGAAAGGAUUUAGUUGCAUUAAUAACCUCACAACAUUCUAAUUUUUAUUCCAGUCUUGGUUGGAAAUAGAAUCUCUGUAUUGAUUCAGGUAAAAACUGAACUUCACAGCAUGUUGGAGCAAAACAACCAGAUGAAAACUGUGAUGGUGUUGGAUUGUCAGACUGUAAUGUUGCAGCUCAGAGCAGCUUUUCUAGCUCAGUUCAUUCUGACAUUCAGCUAUGAAUCAACACAGCAGAUGGUGAUCCAUGCUGUGGAAGUCUCACAUCUCCUGAUUUAAUGGAGCUGCUUUGCACUUUUUACACUGUUUAUUCACCAACACUUUAUUUAAUAAAAGUUCAUCUAGUUUUUAUGAGGAA